rnacentral:lncRNA from 1 species
GUCUUAUUUAUCUCGUGCACAUUCUUUUAGCUAAGCAGUGUCUCAAUAUUUUGAUUAGCUGGAUCGAUGCUCUAACUCUCCAUAUUGCUCAUAUCCGGGACUCAUUAUGCCAUUUUGCCUUUAUAUAUGUGUUUCUUAUCCUUCUGCUAUUCGGACUGGAUGCACAACAUGUUCCAUUAGGUUGUCUGAUGACUCUUUUGUUUAUUUCAUUGCCACCUCAUAUCAUCUAG